AUUGAACGCUGGCGGCAGGCCUAACACAUGCAAGUCGAGCGGAUGAAGGGAGCUUGCUCCUGGAUUCAGCGGCGGACGGGUGAGUAUUGCCUAGGAAUCUGCCUGGUAGUGGGGGAUAACGUCCGGAAACGGGCGCUAAUACCGCAUACGUCCUGAGGGAGAAAGUGGGGGAUCUUCGGACCUCACGCUAUCAGAUGAGCCUAGGUCGGAUUAGCUAGUUGGUGGGGUAAAGGCCUACCAAGGCGACGAUCCGUAACUGGUCUGAGAGGAUGAUCAGUCACACUGGAACUGAGACACGGUCCAGACUCCUACGGGAGGCAGCAGUGGGGAAUAUUGGACAAUGGGCGAAAGCCUGAUCCAGCCAUGCCGCGUGUGUGAAGAAGGUCUUCGGAUUGUAAGCACUUUAAGUUGGGAGGAAGGGCAGUAAGUUAAUACCUUGCUGUUUUGACGUUACCAACAGAAUAAGCACCGGCUAACUUCGUG
rnacentral:rRNA from 1 species